rnacentral:rRNA from 1 species
CCUAGGGUGGCAGCAGUGGGGAAUAUUGGACAAUGGGCGAAAGCCUGAUCCAGCCAUGCCGCGUGUGUGAAGAAGGCCUUCGGGUUGUAAAGCACUUUCAGUGGGGAAGAAAGCCUUGGGGCUAAUACCCUCGAGGAAGGACAUCACCCACAGAAGAAGCACCGGCUAACUCCGUGCCAGCAGCCGCGGUAAUACGGAGGGUGCGAGCGUUAAUCGGAAUUACUGGGCGUAAAGCGCGCGUAGGCGGUCUGAUAAGCCGGUUGUGAAAGCCCCGGGCUCAACCUGGGAACGGCAUCCGGAACUGUCAGGCUAGAGUGCAGGAGAGGAAGGUAGAAUUCCCGGUGUAGCGGUGAAAUGCGUAGAGAUCGGGAGGAAUACCAGUGGCGAAGGCGGCCUUCUGGACUGACACUGACGCUGAGGUGCGAAAGCGUGGGUGGCAAACAGGAUUAGAUACCCCGGUAGUC